GGGGUUAUAGCUGAAUGGUAGAGCACUUGCCUAGCAUGUGCAUGAAGCCCUGGGUUCAAUUCCCAGUACUACCA
rnacentral:tRNA from 1 species